rnacentral:snoRNA from 1 species
AAUGGCAGAUGAUGGAUAAUCUUAUCCUACACACUGAAUGUAAUGUGUAGACCAAUACUCCGCUUAUUAUCUGAUGCCACU